AUUGAACGCUGGCGGCAGGCCUAACACAUGCAAGUCGAGCGAGCGGCGGACGGGUGAGUAAGGUAUGGGGAUCUGCCCGAUAGAGGGGGAUAACUACUGGAAACGGUGGCUAAUACCGCAUACUAUCGGAUAAACCCAUAUGGGAUUAGCUAGUAGGUGGGGUAAAGGCUUACCAAGGCGACGAUCUCUAGCUGGUCUGAGAGGAUGAUCAGCCACACUGGGACUGAGACACGGCCCAGACUCCUACGGGAGGCAGCAGUGGGGAAUAUUGCACAAUGGGCGCAAGCCUGAUGCAGCCAUGCCGCGUGUAUGAAGAAGGCCUUCGGGUUGUAAAGUACUUUCAGUCGGGAGGCGUUACCGACAGAAGAAGCACCGGCUAACUCCGUGCCAGCAGCCGCGGUAAUUC
rnacentral:rRNA from 1 species